UGCAGUCGAGGGGCAGCAUGGUCUUAGCUUGCUAAGGCCGAUGGCGACCGGCGCACGGGUGAGUAACGCGUAUCCAACCUGCCUUACACUCUUGGACAGCCUUCUGAAAGGGAGAUUAAUACAAGAUGUUAUCAUGAGUAAGCAUUUUCGCAUGAUUAAAGGUUUACCGGUGUAAGAUGGGGAUGCGUUCCAUUAGAUAGUAGGCGGGGUAACGGCCCACCUAGUCUUCGAUGGAUAGGGGUUCUGAGAGGAAGGUCCCCCACAUUGGAACUGAGACACGGUCCAAACUCCUACGGGAGGCAGCAGUGAGGAAUAUUGGUCAAUGGACGAGAGUCUGAACCAGCCAAGUAGCGUGAAGGAUGAAGGUUCUAUGGAUUGUAAACUUCUUUUAUACGGGAAUAAACGAAUCCACGCGUGGAUUUUUGCAUGUACCGUAUGAAUAAGGAUCGGCUAACUCCGUGCCAGCAGCCGCGGUAAUACGGAGGAUCCGAGCGUUAUCCGGAUUUAUUGGGUUUAAAGGGAGCGUAGAUGGGUUGUUAAGUCAGUUGUGAAAGUUUGCGGCUCAACCGUAAAAUUGCAAUUGAUACUGGCAGUCUUGAGUACAGUUGAGGUAGGCGGAAUUCGUGGUGUAGCGGUGAAAUGCUUAGAUAUCACGAAGAACUCCGAUUGCGAAGGCAGCUUACUAACCUGUAACUGACAUUGAUGCUCGAAAGUGUGGGUAUCAAACAGGAUUAGAUACCCUGGUAGUCCACACGGUAAACGAUGAAUACUCGCUGUAGGCGAUAUACGGUCUGCGGCCAAGCGAAAGCAUUAAGUAUUCCACCUGGGGAGUACGCCGGCAACGGUGAAACUCAAAGGAAUUGACGGGGGCCCGCACAAGCGGAGGAACAUGUGGUUUAAUUCGAUGAUACGCGAGGAACCUUACCCGGGCUUAAAUUGCAACCGAAUAUGGCGGAAACGCCAUAGCUAGCAAUAGCGGUUGUGAAGGUGCUGCAUGG
rnacentral:rRNA from 1 species